rnacentral:rRNA from 1 species
UACAGAGGGUGCAAGCGUUAUCCGGAUUUAUUGGGCGUAAAGCGUUUCGUAGGCGGUUGGGAAAGUCAUACUUCAAAUACCAGAGCUCAACUUUGGAAAGGGGUGUGAUACUACCUGACUUGAAAGAAAUCGGGGCAAUCGGAACUCUCGGUGUAGGGGUGAAAUCCGUUGAUAUCGAGGGGAACACCAAGGGCGAAGGCAGAUUGAUAGGUUUUCUUUGACGCUGAGGAACGACAGCUAGGGGAGCGAA